rnacentral:rRNA from 1 species
UACGAGGGGGGCGAGCGUUGUUCGGAUUUACUGGGCGUAAAGGGCGCGUAGGCGGCGUGGUAAGUCACUUGUGAAAUCUCUGAGCUUAACUCAGAACGGUCAAGUGAUACUGCUGUGCUAGAGUGCGGAAGGGGCAAUCGGAAUUCUUGGUGUAGCGGUGAAAUGCGCAGAUAUCAGGAAGAACACCCGUGGCGAAGGCGGCUCUCUGGGACGGUACUGACGCUGAGACGCGAAAGCGUGGGGAGCGAACAGG